UAAGCGGAGGAAAAGAAACUAACAAGGAUUCUCCUAGUAACUGCGAGUGAAGCGGGAAAAGCUCAAAUUUAAAAUCUGGUGGUCUUNGGCCAUCCGAGUUGUAAUCUAGAGAAGCGUCUUCCGCGCUGGACCGUGCACAAGUCUCCUGGAACGGAGCGUCGUAGAGGGUGAGAAUCCCGUCUUUGGCAUGGACACACCAGGGCUUUUGUGAUGCGCUCUCGAAGAGUCGAGUUGUUUGGGAAUGCAGCUCAAAACGGGUGGUGAACUCCAUCUAAAGCUAAAUAUUGGCGAGAGACCGAUAGCGAACAAGUACCGUGAGGGAAAGAUGAAAAGCACUUUGGAAAGAGAGUGAAACAGUACGUGAAAUUGUUGAAAGGGAAACGCUUGAAGUCAGUCGCGUCGACCGAGACUCAGCCUCGCCUCGGCUUGGCGUACUUCUCGGCCCGACGGGUCAGCAUCAAUUUCGCCUCUUGGAUAAUGGCGAGGGAAACGUGACACCUUUACGGUGUGUUAUAGUCUCUCGUCGCAUGCAAGGGUCGGGAUUGAGGAACUCAGCACGUGCCUUUGGGCGUCGGGGCUUUGCCUACGAUACGUGCUUAGGAUGUUGGCGUAAUGGCUUUAAACGACC
rnacentral:rRNA from 1 species